rnacentral:rRNA from 1 species
GAUGAACGCUAGCGGCAGGCCUAAUACAUGCAAGUCGAGGGGUAUAGAGGAGCUUGCUCUUCUAGAGACCGGCGCACGGGUGCGUAACGCGUAUGCAAUCUACCUUAAUCAGGGGGAUAGCCCGGAGAAAUCCGGAUUAAUACCGCAUAACAUUAUUUUACGGCAUCGUGAGAUAAUCAAACAUUUAUGGGAUUAAGAUG